rnacentral:rRNA from 1 species
UACGUAGGGGCAAGCGUUGUCCGGAAUUAUUGGGCGUAAAGCGCGUGUAGGCGGCCAGAUAAGUCCGCUGUGAAAUCUCGAGGCUCAACUUCGAGCUGUCGGUGGAACUGUCUGGCUAGAGUCCGGAAGAGGAGAAUGGAAUCCUGGUGUAGCGGUGAAAUGCGCAGAUAUCAGGAAGAACACCCGUGGCGAAGGCGGUUCUCUGGGACGGUACUGACGCUGAGACGCGAAAGCGUGGGGGAGCGAACAGG